CCUACGGGCGGCAGCAGUGGGGAAUAUUGGACAAUGGGCGAAAGCCUGAUCCAGCCAUGCCGCGUGUGUGAAGAAGGCCUUCGGGUUGUAAAGCACUUUCAGUGGGGAAGAAAGCCUUGGGGCUAAUACCCUCGAGGAAGGACAUCACCCACAGAAGAAGCACCGGCUAACUCCGUGCCAGCAGCCGGCGGUAAUACGGAGGGUGCGAGCGUUAAUCGGAAUUACUGGGCGUAAAGCGCGCGUAGGCGGUCUGAUAAGCCGGUUGUGAAAGCCCCGGGCUCAACCUGGGAACGGCAUCCGGAACUGUCAGGCUAGAGUGCAGGAGAGGAAGGUAGAAUUCCCGGUGUAGCGGUGAAAUGCGUAGAGAUCGGGAGGAAUACCAGUGGCGAAGGCGGCCUUCUGGACUGACACUGACGCUGAGGUGCGAAAGCGUGGGUAGCAAACAGGAUUAGAUACCCGAGUAGUC
rnacentral:rRNA from 1 species